rnacentral:rRNA from 1 species
GACGAACGCUGGCGGCGUGCUUAACACAUGCAAGUCGAACGGAAAGACCCUGCUUUUGUGGGGUGCUCGAGUGGCGCACGGGUGUGUGACACGUGAGUAACCUGCCCUUGACUUUCGGGUAACUUCACGAAACUGGGGCGCAAACCCGAUAGAAGCUCCUGAUGCACGGUGGGGGUUGGAAAGUGUCGGCGGUUGGGGAUGGACUGGCGGCUUAUCAGCUGGUUGGUGGGGUAGUGGCUUACCAAGGCUUUGACGGGUAGCCGGCAUGGGAGGGUGACCAGCCACAAUGGGACUGAGAUACGGACCAGACUCCUACGGGAGGCAGUAGUGGGGAAUCUGGCAGAAUGGGCGGAAGUCUGAUGCAGCAAUGCCGCGUGCGGGAUGACGGCUUUCGGGUUGAAAACCGCUUUCGCCUGUGACGAAGCGUGAGUGACGGUAAUGGGUCAAGAAGCACCGGCUAACUACGUG